rnacentral:rRNA from 1 species
UACGGAGGGUGCAAGCGUUGUCCGGAAUCACUGGGCGUAAAGGGCGCGUAGGCGGCUCAUGAAGGCUGUGGUGAAAGUCCGGGCUCAACCUCGGAUCGGCCGUGGCGACUCGUGGGCUGGAGCGCUGUAGAGGCGGGUGGAAUUCCGGGUGUAGCGGUGGAAUGCGUAGAGAUCCGGAAGAACACCAGUGGCGAAGGCGGCCCGCUGGGCAGUGGCUGACGGCUGAGGCGCGACAGCGUGGGAGCAAA